CCUUCAUCAUGUUCCACGACACCUGGGACAAUAGGUCCUCGACCAGUCCUGUACAGGACAUACCCACAUUCCUUCAAACACUAAACCUGGCACAGGUUGUAAGACCAGGCAGUUCUUUUUAUUUGUUCACCUUUCUGAUCUACCAUGAUUCUACUAAGUUACCCCCCACAGGGCCCAAGGGUUGGAGACCUAGGGGACUGCUGGAUUUCUCUCUUCUUUUAACAAUGUUUCAACAAACGCAAUCCACCAACACCCACCACAAUGCCUGCUAGUCUAACCUAAACUAGGAUUAAUCUUCCUACAAGAAAUGCACUACUCUGACACACGCCCAUUCCCUCUCCUUAGCCGGCACUUCAAGGCAUACCACCUAGCUAACUCCAACAUGGGUAAGCAGAAUGGGGUAGCGAUACUGUUAUGGAAAACGUUCCCCCUCCAGGUUAACAACCCACACAAAGACCCUCAAGGGCGAUACCUUACGAUAGCAGGGACUUUUGGCCCGACCAAAUUCAGAUUCACAUCCCUCUACGCACCCACACAUCCAGAUCCACAAUGCUGGCUCACCCUACAAGCGCACCUUAGCCUAUACCCAACACACCACAGAAUCAUAGGGGGGAACUUUAACACAAACUCUUCCCAGAGACAUCGCCCUCAGCUGCCACCUCAACCCUCCAGAUCAGAUAAACUCAUGGCUGACUUCUUAUUUCAG